GACGAACGCUGGCGGCGUGCUUAACACAUGCAAGUCGAACGGAAAGGCCCUGCUUUUGUGGGGUGCUCGAGUGGCGAACGGGUGAGUAACACGUGAGUAACCUGCCCUUGACUUUGGGAUAACUUCAGGAAACUGGGGCUAAUACCGGAUAGGAGCUCCUGCUGCAUGGUGGGGGUUGGAAAGUUUCGGCGGUUGGGGAUGGACUCGCGGCUUAUCAGCUUGUUGGUGGGGUAGUGGCUUACCAAGGCUUUGACGGGUAGCCGGCCUGAGAGGGUGACCGGCCACAUUGGGACUGAGAUACGGCCCAGACUCCUACGGGAGGCAGCAGUGGGGAAUAUUGCACAAUGGGCGGAAGCCUGAUGCAGCAACGCCGCGUGCGGGAUGACGGCCUUCGGGUUGUAAACCGCUUUCGCCUGUGACGAAGCGUGAGUGACGGUAAUGGGUAAAGAAGCACCGGCUAACUACGUGCCAGCAGCCGCGGUGAUACGUAGGGUGCGAGCGUUGUCCGGAUUUAUUGGGCGUAAAGGGCUCGUAGGUGGUUGAUCGCGUCGGAAGUGUAAUCUUGGGGCUUAACCCUGAGCGUGCUUUCGAUACGGGUUGACUUGAGGAAGGUAGGGGAGAAUGGAAUUCCUGGUGGAGCGGUGGAAUGCGCAGAUAUCAGGAGGAACACCAGUGGCGAAGGCGGUUCUCUGGGCCUUUCCUGACGCUGAGGAGCGAAAGCGUGGGGAGCGAACAGGCUUAGAUACCCUGGUAGUCCGCGCUGUAAACGGUGGGUACUAGGUGUGGGGUCCAUUCCACGGGUUCCGUGCCGUAGCUAACGCUUUAAGUACCCCGCCUGGGGAGUACGGCCGCAAGGCUAAAACUCAAAGGAAUUGACGGGGCCCCGCACAAGCGGCGGAGCAUGCGGAUUAAUUCGAUGCAACGCGUAGAACCUUACCUGGGUUUGACAUGGAUCGGGAGUGCUCAGAGAUGGGUGUGCCUCUUUUGGGGUCGGUUCACAGGUGGUGCAUGGCUGUCGUCAGCUCGUGUCGUAAGAUGUUGGGUUAAGUCCCGCAACGAGCGCAACCCUUGUUCACUGUUGCCAGCACGUUAUGGUGGGGACUCAGUGGAGACCGCCGGGGUCAACUCGGAGGAAGGUGGGGAUGACGUCAAGUCAUCAUGCCCCUUAUGUCCAGGGCUUCACGCAUGCUACAAUGGCUGGUACAGAGAGUGGCGAGCCUGUGAGGGUGAGCGAAUCUCGGAAAGCCGGUCUCAGUUCGGAUUGGGGUCUGCAACUCGAUCUCAUGGAGUCGGAGUCGCUAGUAAUCGCAGAUCAGCAACGCUGCGGUGAAUACGUUCCCGGGGCU
rnacentral:rRNA from 1 species